rnacentral:misc_RNA from 1 species
GAUGAAGAACGCAGCGAAAUGCGAUAAGUAAUGUGAAUUGCAGAAUUCAGUGAAUCAUCGAAUCUUUGAACGCACAUUGCGCCCAUUAGUAUUUUAGUGGGCAUGCCUGUUCGAGCGUCAUUAAUUCCACUUAAGCCCUGCUUAGUGUUGGGAAUCUACUCUAGUGGUGCUACCCUGGAGCUACCCCUGAAAGGGGGCUGGCCCGGUAGCUACCCUGUAGUUCCUCAAAGAUAGUGCGCGGAGUUGCGUGGUCCUCUGAGCUUAGUAACUAUACACCUAGCUUUUGAGUGUCCCGCGGCGCCUGCCGUUUAAACCCCAUCUUUUAAUGGUUGACCUCGGAUCAGGUAGGAAUACCCGCUGAACUUAAGCAUAUCAAUAAGCGGAGGA